UAGGGAAUAUUAGUAAUGGGCGAAAGCCUGAGCUAGCAACGCCGCGUGUGCGGAGAAGGCCUUCGGGUUGUAAAGCACUUUUUGAGAGGAUGAGGAAGGACGGUACUCUCAGAAUAAGUCUCGGCUAACUACGUGCCAGCAGCCGCGGUAACACGUAGGAGGCGAACGUUAUCCGGAUUUACUGGGCGUAAAGCGCGUGUAGGUGGUUUGGUAAGUAGGGCGUGAAAGCUCCUGGCUCAACUGGGAGAGGCCGUUCUAAACUGCCGAACUAGAGGAUGGUAGAGGGAGGUGGAAUUCCGGGUGUAGCGGUGGAAUGCGCAGAUAUCCGGAGGAACACCAGUAGCGAAAGCGGCCUCCUGGACCAUUCCUGACACUCAGACGCGAAAGCUAGGGU
rnacentral:rRNA from 1 species